rfam:Anopheles melas strain CM1001059_A cont2.18251, whole genome shotgun sequence.
CUCACCCCCUAAUGGAGAGGGAUGGUGGAGGAAAGACAAGGGCGUUCUCUUCUCGGUGCGCUUUUGUACGCGCGCCUGAAUCACUUCGCGCUUUACUAG